UACGUAGGGUGCAAGCGUUGUCCGGAUUUACUGGGCGUAAAGAGCGCGCAGGCGGUCGUACAAGUCGCGUGUGAAAGCCCCCGGCUCAACUGGGGAGGGUCACGCGAUACUGUUCGACUCGAAGGCAGGAGAGGGAAGUGGAAUUCCCGGUGUAGUGGUGAAAUGCGUAGAUAUCGGGAGGAACACCAGUGGCGAAGGCGACUUCCUGGACCAAUACUGACGCUCAUGUGCGAAAGCGUGGGGAGCAAACAGGG
rnacentral:rRNA from 1 species